CGGGACGGGUGAGUAAUGUCUGGGAAACUGCCUGAUGGAGGGGGAUGACUACUGGAAACGGUAGCUAAUACCGCAUAACGUCGCAAGACCAAAGAGGGGGACCUUCGGGCCUCUUGCCAUCGGAUGUGCCCAGAUGGGAUUAGCUAGUAGGUGGGGUAACGGCUCACCUAGGCGACGAUCCCUAGCUGGUCUGAGAGGAUGACCAGCCACACUGGAACUGAGACACGGUCCAG
rnacentral:rRNA from 1 species